rnacentral:rRNA from 1 species
GACGUAGGGCGCGAGCGUUGUCCGGAUUUAUUGGGCGUAAAGAGCUCGUAGGCGGCUCAUUGCGUCAACCGUGAAAACCAGCAGCUCAACUGUUGGCUUGCGGUUGAUACGGGUGGGCUGGAGUUCGGUAGGGGAGACUGGAAUUCCUGGUGUAGCGGUGAAAUGCGUAGAUAUCGGAAGGAACAUCAGUGGCGAAAGCGACUUCCUGGACCAGUACCGACGUUCAGGCACGAAAGCGUGGGGAGCAAACAGG